ACCACUCCGAAACCCCAAUGCUGGAUGUGAAUGAUCUCCACAAAAUCCAUUCAAUUGAUCGCUGUAGCACAGCAGAUGCAGGUCCCAAAAAUGAGGGAUUUCGUUCUGCGCUUCCCUUUACGGAUCGGCGAUGGCGGUGGUGGGCCGAUUACUCAAGAUUUCUUAAGCUUUAAUCUUUGUGGUUGAUGCAAGGUGGCUGAACUCCAUUAUUUGGGAGGCCGAGUUCAUUAUAUCUUAGUAAUUUGGUAUGAUGUUCUCUACCUGUCUAUUACAGCUUUAAAAGUUAUAUAAUUGGCCUGUUUUGCUUUUUCGUCGUUAACAAAAUCAAAAGAAAAAUAGUGGGCUCCUAAAUAAUAAUAAUAAUAAUAAUAAAUAAUAAAUGGUGGGGGAUAACCACCAAUCAGCUUUUCCGGCAAACAAUUGAUAAUGGAAAUGAUUAUACUCAUUGGGACAGUAUAUUUUCCAUUGUUUCUGUUGCAAUGUAGUUUUCAACUUUUUGUACUUCUAACUUGAUUGUUCUAACUUGAUUAAUCAUUGUUGAUAAUUUUAGUUAUUACAAAA